rnacentral:lncRNA from 1 species
UUUUCGAUAUUCUUGUUUCUAGUCAACGUGAGAACUUGAGAAUUUGGCUAUAUAGUUGAACUCUUUAUUAACGAUGUUUUUGUAUGUAAUUUAAUUAUAUACGCACUCAUCAAGUUUCAGGAGAAAACGAGUUAGGAUGGAGAAGUUACGCGACCUGUACUAAUAACUUAAAGUGAAUAGUAACUCGAAUUUUUUGGAAAGGCCAAUCAGUGGAGAUGGCUUCUGGUGCGUAUUGAACUCCGUUCACAGUGAUCCAAUAGCUCGUUUUAGACGUUUCGACUAUCUUGGACCCAAUGGAACUGACGGAUUUGAAUUUUGAUGCACGGUUUUUGAGAAAAGGGGGUUUAUUGUAUUUACACAUAUAUAUAUGUAUGGUUUUGGAAAAUUGGAGAGGUAAUGGGUUUCAUCGCAAAUCGACAACCAUAUCGGGCAAAACAAAAUUGUGAGUUCGAUGCCCCGAUCGUACUGAAUGCAUUCGCGCAGCUUGUCACGCUCCGGAUUACUCGUUUCCCCGGGCACGCCAACAAAUCUGCCGUACACAAAGAAAUUUUUCCUAUAUACGAAGCGAGAGCUGUACCUGUAAUCACACAACACUACAAAUAGUAGUGUAGGGCUGCUAAAAAGAACAAUAUAUAGAUAAAACCGGUUUCCUAUACAUACAUAACAAUCUGGUACAAAAACACUCGCUCCAGCGAGGAUCUAAUAUCAGUAUGUACAAGAACCAAAAACUACAACUACCUGUAGCUGGUAUAUCUCUAAGUCAGC